UAAAGAUUAUUUAGUGCAAACACUAAUGGGCAGGGACACCUCCCACUAGGCCAGGCUGUGCACCACAGUCACUUGUUUUCAUGUGAGAAGUGAGAAUGUUAAUUCCUCUCAAAAACCCUUCCCAUCUUCUUUUUCCUAACUCAAAACUAUACAAUAUAUUAAUUUUUAUUACCUUUUUAUGUCAAGUAAGACACAGAUGAGGAUAUACAACAUUUCACUUAUUCCUCAUCCUGCAGCAACAAUAAUUUAUGUCAAGAGCUGUAAAUUGCCAGACCACAGGAAAUAGCAUGAAAUAAAUAUUUCCUAAAAUGCUUGAAUAUGAGAGCUAAUACUUCUAAUAUGUGUGUCUUGUAGCUUGGAUUGGUUCUAAACAGAGUUAAUUGGAUUGUCAUAGUUACAUGGGUAAGUAUUCAAACAUGUCUAAACUUCAUAAAACCUCCUGGAAAGAGAGACAGGCAGUGUCAGAAGAAAUUCAAACCCAAACUUUUAAGACUGUUUGCACAGCAAACUCAACAAACACUUUUGCUGAUCUGCCUGAAACCUGGACCAUUUAAAUGCCAUUAUUCUUUUUGUCGAUGCUCAGACAAGUUUUGGUACAAGCGGAAAACCUAAAAAAAUAUGAAGUUUGCUUAAUAAAACAUAUUAAAAUGGGUGCCAUGAAACUGAAUUAUUUCAACUGGAAUGUAUACACUGGGGAAAAGCAAGAUCUUGAAUAUUCACAUUACAGCUCAUUGAAAAGGCAAUGGGCUAUGCAACAAGAUUGACAACAAAGGGAAAAAUGAUGAGGAAAAUUGCCUUACUUAUCUGCUAGAGUGCUCUUGACUGCCAACUGUAAUUUUAUGGUUCAUUAUAUAAAAAAAUACCAUUAAUGUUAGUACUUGUGUAUCAUAAUCAUGAGAAGAAGGGAAAAAGUUCAUUGAAAUGUGCUCCAUUUUUAAUCAAGACACUAUAAUUGUGUGUUUUUCAGGCAUCAUCAAUUUCCAUCAAUUUUACUGCUGCACAAAUAAUGUGCUGCUAUAGUUCUUCCACAGGUCAAUUCCUGCAUGAGGAUGUCAGGGAGCAAAUCUACAGCAGAGCCUCAACCCCAGAGCAGAGGCCUUUCCUAAGGACUUUCUUCUUGAUAAAAUGAUGAUUCCCAGAUGAUGUUUUCCUAGAUUGAGGAUGCUCAGACUUUCUUUAUUCCAUUCCAUCCAUUUCAACAUUUCAUGGUUGAAACAGACCCUUGGUAAAAGCUGCUCUUUUCUCUUGGGAAUGUGCUGAGUUUUGAAGCCUGGGAAAAUAUGAAUUAUUCUAGAGCAGCAAGUGCUGCAGUGUGUGUGCAUCUGUGUUUGUUGGGAAGUCAAAAUACAAACAGUGGAGAAGAUACCCUCAUUUGUUUUCCACUCCAGUUUUUAAGUGAUAUGUUAGGAAGCAAUCAUAAUAAAGAGGAGCCGAAGGAGCCAAAGAAAUUAUUUCUCAGUGAGACAGCAGCCUGCUGUUAUCGCUAAUCUAAGAGGCACUGGAUAGAGGUCAUCUUCUGAUCAAUGAAGUGAAUUUCACUUUAUGAUGCUGCAAACAGACAGAGAAUGGUACAAUCAAGUGCUUUUGAAGAGAAAACAGAAGCAGCCAGAGAGCAAGGGGAGAACCAUAACAAAAAUAAACAGAUUUAUUGCAAUACAGAGCCUGUUCUACGAGGGCCCUGCAGUGUAGGAAGAGGAUGUUGCCCUCCUUCAGCACCCUGGAUAUUCAGAGUAGUGCCAAGACCUGAAAUCACUUCACCUGCCCAGAACAGUCCUCUGCACAAACAGAAAUAACAACCUGCUCUGCCACAUCCAAAGAUUAUCCCUCCUAAAGGGAAAACAGUUUAGGUUCCAAGCUAAGCACUUCAGCAUGGGGUGUAAUGUGACUUUCAGGAAUUCUGAGCAAGGAAUGCUGACAGCUUUUGUUCCACAGUCUCCACACACUUCAGGGCCUGGCUCUCUGCUUUGCCCAUAUUUUGCUUUUCAAGAGGAAUUUGACUCAAUCAGGUCUUACAGAACUGUCUGAUAUGAUUUUGGUUCUCUAAAUAAUACAGAUUUAAAGGCCUGAUCAAAAUGUUUGCUGCUGAAGUUUAUAGUUUGGAGGAUUAAGCAUGGUAAUUGAGCAAGAAUUGGAUGUGUGAUGCAGUCUGUGCCACAGGAAAGCUUUAAAACAGUCUCUGCUGCUUAUUUUUUCUUUCCACACCUUCCAAAAUCAAUAGAAAGGUAACGAGGGCCCUUGCUGUCAGCAUGGAUUAAUCUGGAAUUCCCUGGCAUCUUCAGAUCCUUGUGCAUCAAAACAUGAGCGUAUAUCAAAAGUUUGAACAGUGGCUCAAAGUGCUCAGGAGUUCAAAAAAAUGACAAGAGCCAGCGAACUAAAACGCCUCCAAUUUCUAUGGUUUGCAAACUUCAAAAAGUGUGAUUGUGCUGGGAGGCUUUGAUCUCAAUAUUACUUUUUUAUUGCCUUUGAAGUCCAAAGCAAAGGGCCAUUGCAGCGGGAUCUGGAGGUGCCGGCUGUUAAUUCCCUAUAGCCACGUUUAAGGUACAGCAUGUCAGCUAUUGACCACUGGAUGCUAAAGAAUGUAACCAUCAUAGAGAGGAUUUUCUUCUUAAAGAAGGUUUCACACUCAGCAGUGUUGGUGCAGUUUGAGUUUUCCCAACAAAAAGACGCUCAGGACCUCAGGAAGGUGUUUUCUAGAAUACCCCACAUUUUUAAUAAUCAGCUGUUACGGCUAAGCAGGAGUUGGAAUUCUGUCAAAAUUACCCACCAAACAGCAGCAUGUGUUAUUUUUGGAGCUGGUGAGGGAAACCUCCAAAUGAGGAGGUUGCUGAGGGGCUGGAAUCUCUGCCUGCUCCUGAGCUGGGAACUUAACUCUGUAAAUUUGCACCAGCCUUCGAACAGCAGAACUGGAAAGGAAAAAUGGAAAGGGCUGCAUUUAUAUGGCUUGUAAAAUAUUCAUUUAUGUGCUGUGCUUGAGGAGCAUCGAUCUCUGGAGAGCAGGAGGUUUCUUCAUCUCAGUCACAUUGCAUUAGAGGGAAGA